rnacentral:lncRNA from 1 species
CUUCCCGUGGGACUUUGCCCAGCCUAGUUUAGAGGAACUCUAGAGACCUGGCUCCACCACUGCUCAGAGUUGAACCUACUCCCUCAUGGGACAGGAGCAGAUGACAGUAUCUUUAUUAAAAUCAUCUCAUUAUAUUGAAUCCACUCAGCAGGUAUUAACAACCUCUGUGCCAAGGCCUUUAUUCAGAGCACACAGAUGAACGAGAUAAUCCCUCUACUGCCCACCUAGCCAUUUUAAAUGCAGGUAGGAGGAAAUAAUGCUGAGUAGAGAUCCCUGUCACCUCUGGUCCUUUGUAAACCAAUAGAGCUUCACUAUGUAGAAAUGCCAAAAGACCUUUGAAGAUUAAAACAUACUUCCUAAAAUUUUAAAUUUCCUUAAAAUUUCCCAGAACUAUUAAGUUUAAUAUAUGUUAGAUGUACAAUUAAUAUCCUAAUACCUUCACUUACUAAGCCUAGAAUUUUGUGAGCUUGGGCUAUGUUUUUAAUUCAUUUCUGGAGUAUUUAUUGCACAUGGUUCUUAUGUGUUCAAUGAGUGGCUGUUAAAAGAAACGUUAGGUUUCUGGCACCUUAUUCUUAGUGCCUGCACUGCUAGGCCAGGCUGGCAUUCACUCAUUCAUUCAGGCCCGUUACACACGCACUAUGCCCAGCCUUCCUCUCACCUAACCUGCUG